rnacentral:rRNA from 1 species
GUGGGGAAUUUUGGACAAUGGGCGCAAGCCUGAUCCAGCCAUUCCGCGUGCAGGAUGAAGGCCUUCGGGUUGUAAACUGCUUUUGUACGGAACGAAACGGUCCUGGCUAAUACCCGGGGCUAAUGACGGUACCGUAAGAAUAAGCACCGGCUAACUACGUGCCAGCAGCCGCGGUAAUACGUAGGGUGCGAGCGUUAAUCGGAAUUACUGGGCGUAAAGCGUGCGCAGGCGGUGCUGUAAGACAGGCGUGAAAUCCCCGGGCUCAACCUGGGAAUUGCGCUUGUGACUGCAGUGCUGGAGUGCGGCAGAGGGGGAUGGAAUUCCGCGUGUAGCAGUGAAAUGCGUAGAUAUGCGGAGGAACACCGAUGGCGAAGGCAAUCCCCUGGGCCUGCACUGACGCUCAUGCACGAAAGCGUGGGGAGCAAACAGGAUUAGAAACCCGGGUAGUCC